rnacentral:misc_RNA from 1 species
GAUGAAGAACGUAGCAAAAUGCGAUAAGUAAUGUGAAUUGCAGAAUUCAGUGAAUCAUCGAAUCUUUGAACGCACAUUGCGCCCGCCAGUAUUCUGGCGGGCAUGCCUGUUCGAGCGUCAUUUCAACCCUCAGGCCCCCAGUGCCUGGUGUUGGGGAUCGGCCCAGCCUUCCUGUAAGGCCGCCGGCCCCGAAAUCUAGUGGCGGUCUCGCUGUAGUCCUCCUCUGCGUAGUAGCACAACCUCGCAGUUGGAACGCGGCGGUGGCCAUGCCGUUAAACACCCCACUUCUGAAAGUUGACCUCGGAUCAGGUAGGAAUACCCGCUGAACUUAAGCAUAUCAAUAAGCGGAGGA